AGACACAGUCAUGCAAGCUUGGGGUGUGGCCAUUUUCUUCCUCCUUUUAUUCUUCAUCUCCAUCAUCUUUUCUGCUGUCAUCACAUCUUUGAAGAUGAAAUGAAGAGGAUGACAGAGACAUAUCCCUUUUUCUGCUGGCAUCUCAGGAUUUUUGAUGACAUUUGAGCUGUUUUAGACAAUUUUAAAGAUUUGGUAUCUUAUGUCUAUAUUUUUUUUGCUUUACUGUAAUGACAAAAGAUACAUCUCUUUUCUUUGUUAUAUUCAAUGUCACUUGUAAAAUGAAUAAAUGAUUUAAAAAGUGUA